rnacentral:tRNA from 1 species
GGGCCGGUAGCUCAGCCAGGUAGUGGGUGCGCCGCCUACAGCACCCGGCUCAUAACCGGGGGGUCCCGGGUUCAAAUCCCGGCCGGCCCACCA